AACGAACGUUGGCGGCGUGGAUUAGGCAUGCAAGUCGAACGAGAAAGCCACCUUCGGGUGGUUAGUAAAGUGGCGAACGGGUGAGUAACGCGUGGGAAAUCUGCCCUACAGUUGGGGAUAACACUCCUAACGGAGUGCUAAUACCGAAUGAGACCACGAGAUCGCAUGGUCUUGAGGUUGAAGGUGGCCUCUCCUUGGAAGCUACCGCUGCAGGAGGAUCCCGCGUCCCAUUAGCUUGUUGGCAGGGUAACGGCCUACCAAGGCUUCGAUGGGUAGCUGGUCUGAGAGGAUGGUCAGCCACACUGGGACUGAGACACGGCCCAGACUCCUACGGGAGGCAGCAGUGGGGAAUAUUGGACAAUGGGGGCAACCCUGAUCCAGCCAUGCCGCGUGAGUGAAGAAGGCCU
rnacentral:rRNA from 1 species